CGGAGGGUGCAAGCGUUAAUCGGAAUUACUGGGCGUAAAGCGCACGCAGGCGGUUGGAUAAGCUAGAUGUGAAAGCCCCGGGCUCAACCUGGGAAUAGCAUUUAGAACUGUCCGACUAGAGUCUUGUAGAGGGGGUAGAAUUCCAGGUGUAGCGGUGAAAUGCGUAGAGAUCUGGAGGAAUACCGGUGGCGAAGGCGGCCCCCUGGACAAAGACUGACGCUCAGGUGCGAAAGCGUGGGGAGCAAACAGGAUU
rnacentral:rRNA from 1 species